rnacentral:tRNA from 1 species
CAAAGUGUAGCUUAAAUCAAAGCAUCCGGCUUACACCCAGAAGAUCUCACUCACCGAUGAUCACUUUGA